rnacentral:rRNA from 1 species
CAUAGGGUUUGGUUUUUGCCCAGCCUUUAGCUUAGCGUUAAGCUUAUACAUGCUAGCCUAAAAGACGGCGCACAGGUGCAUAUUUUGUAAGCAUGU